AGAGAGAGACAUGCGUGCAUAUCAAUAAGCGGAGGAAAAGAAACUAACAAGGAUUCCCCUAGUAACGGCGAGUGAAGCGGGAAGAGCUCAAAUUUGAAAUCUUAAAGGGUUUCCCUUUACGAAUUGUAGUUUAAAGAAGUGUUUUCUGUUGAGGUUUUGGUAAAAGUUCUUUGGAAUAGGACAUCAUAGAGGGUGAGAAUCCCGUAUUUGACCUUUACUUUCAACUUUGUGAUACACUUUCAAAGAGUCGGAUUGUUUGGGAAUGCAGUCCAAAAUGGGUGGUAAAUUUCAUCUAAAGCUAAAUAUUGGCGAGAGACCGAUAGCGAACAAGUACCGUGAGGGAAAGAUGAAAAGAACUUUGAAAAGAGAGUUAAACAGUACGUGAAAUUGUCAAAAGGGAAGCGUUUGACACCAGUGUUGUUUUUCUGAAAAUCAAUUAAAGAACUGUUUAUGCUAAGUUGUUUAGACUUUAUCAGCUAACUGUUUAGUUUUGAGCUUUUCUUUAAUGCACUUUUCAGUUAACAAGUCAACAUCAAUUUCUUUUGCUGUAAAAAAGCUUGAGGAAGGUGGCUUGAGAUUCGUCUUAAGUGUUUAUAGCCUCUUGCCUAUGCAGUCGGAGAGAUUGAGGUCUGCAGCGUAGAUCCUUCGGGGCUAAAUGCAUUUGUGCUAAGUUAUAGCAUUUUAUAGACAACUUGUUGACUAUGAUUUGUCUUGUAGCUUACUCGCUUAUGUUAUUUUACCUACGCUUAGGAUGUUGAUGUGAUACUGCGAGCA
rnacentral:rRNA from 1 species